AAAAAAGUAGUGAAGCGUGUGAGCCAUGUGCCGAGAAAAGCUGCUAUUGUGUAAUGCGUGCCCGUACCGUAAACCGACACAGGUGGAUGAGGAGAGAAUCCUAAGGCCGGCGGAAGAAGCAUUGUUAAGGAAUUCGGCAAAAUGACCCCGUAACUUCGGGAGAAGGGGUGCCUGCGAGAGCAGGCCGCAGAGAAUAGGCUCAAGCAACUGUUUAGCAAAAACACAGGUCUAUGCGAAACCGAAAGGUGAAGUAUAUGGGCUGACGCCUGCCCGGUGCUGGAAGGUUAAGAGGAGAGGUUAGCUUCGGCGAAGCUUUGAAUUUAAGCCCCAGUAAACGGCGGCCGUAACUAUAACGGUCCUAAGGUAGCGAAAUUCCUUGUCGGGUAAGUUCCGACCCGCACGAAAGGCGUAAUGAUUUGAGCACUGUCUCGACAAUGCAUCCGGUGAAAUUGAAGUACCAGUGAAGAUGCUGGUUACCCGCGCCAGGACGGAAAGACCCCAUGGAGCUUUACUCCAGUUUGAUACUGGGAUUCGGUACUGCAUGUACAGGAUAGGUGGGAGACGAAGAAGGAUGGACGCCAGUCUGUCCGGAGUCGCUGUUGGGAUACCACCCCUGAAGUACUGGGUUUCUAACCAGUUGCCAUGAACUGGCAAUGGGACAAUGUCAGGCGGGGAGUUUGACUGGGGCGGUCGCCUCCGAAAGGGUAUCGGAGGCGCUCAAAGGUUCCCUCAGAAUGGUUGGAAACCAUUUGAAGAGUGCAAAGGCAGAAGGGAGCUUGACUGCGACACCGACGGGUGGAGCAGGUACGAAAGUAGGACUUAGUGAUCCGGUGGUAUAAAGUGGGAUUGCCAUCGCUCAACGGAUAAAAGCUACCCUGGGAUAACAGGCUUAUCACUCCCAAGAGUUCACAUCGACGGAGUGGUUUGGCACCUCGAUGUCGGCUCAUCGCAUCCUGGGGCUGUAGCAGGUCCCAAGGGUUGGGCUGUUCGCCCAUUAAAGCGGUACGCGAGCUGGGUUCAGAACGUCGUGAGACAGUUCGGUCCCUAUCCGGCGCGGGCGGAGGAUAUUUGAGAGGAGCUGUCCUUAGUACGAGAGGACCGGGAUGGACGGACCACUGGUGUAUCUGUUGUCGACCAACGGCAUGGCAGAGUAGCCAAGUCUGGAAGGGAUAAACGCUGAAGGCAUCUAAGCGUGAAGCCCCCCUCAAGAUGAGAUAUCCCUCCUUCGGGAGUAAGACCCCUUGAAGACUACAAGGUAGAUAGGGCAGAGGUGGAAGCAUGGCAACAUGUGGAGCUGACUGUUACUAAUAGGUCGAGGGCUUAAUCA
rnacentral:rRNA from 1 species